rnacentral:rRNA from 1 species
UCCAGGCAAAUCCGGAUAAUCAAGGCUGAGGUGUGAUGACGAGGCACUACGGUGCUGAAGUAACAAAUGCCCUGCUUCCAGGAAAAGCCUCUAAGCAUCAGGUAACAUUAAAUCGUACCCCAAACCGACACAGGUGGUCAGGUAGAGAAUACCAAGGCGCUUGAGAGAACUCGGGUGAAGGAACUAGGCAAAAUGGUGCCGUAACUUCGGGAGAAGGCACGCUGGUGUGUAGGUGAAGCCCCUGCGGGUGGAGCUGAGACCAGUCGAAGAUACCAGCUGGCUGCAACUGUUUAUUAAAAACACAGCACUGUGCAAACACGAAAGUGGACGUAUACGGUGUGACGCCUGCCCGGUGCCGGAAGGUUAAUUGAUGGGGUUAUCCGUAAGGAGAAGCUCUUGAUCGAAGCCCCGGUAAACGGCGGCCGUAACUAUAACGGUCCUAAGGUAGCGAAAUUCCUUGUCGGGUAAGUUCCGACCUGCACGAAUGGCGUAAUGAUGGCCAGGCUGUCUCCACCCGAGACUCAGUGAAAUUGAACUCGCUGUGAAGAUGCAGUGUACCCGCGGCAAGACGGAAAGACCCCGUGAACCUUUACUAUAGCUUGACACUGAACAUUGAGCCUUGAUGUGUAGGAUAGGUGGGAGGCUUUGAAGCGUGGACGCCAGUCUGCGUGGAGCCAACCUUGAAAUACCACCCUUUAAUGUUUGAUGUUCUAACGUUGGCCCCUGACCGGGGUUGCGGACAGUGUCUGGUGGGUAGUUUGACUGGGGCGGUCUCCUCCCAAAGCGUAACGGAGGAGCACGAAGGUUAGCUAAUCCUGGUCGGACAUCAGGAGGUUAGUGCAAUGGCAUAAGCUAGCUUGACUGCGAGCGUGACGGCGCGAGCAGGUGCGAAAGCAGGUCAUAGUGAUCCGGUGGUUCUGAAUGGAAGGGCCAUCGCUCAACGGAUAAAAGGUACUCCGGGGAUAACAGGCUGAUACCGCCCAAGAGUUCAUAUCGACGGCGGUGUUUGGCACCUCGAUGUCGGCUCAUCACAUCCUGGGGCUGAAGUAGGUCCCAAGGGUAUGGCUGUUCGCCAUUUAAAGUGGUACGCGAGCUGGGUUUAGAACGUCGUGAGACAGUUCGGUCCCUAUCUGCCGUGGGCGCUGGAGAAUUGAGGGGGGCUGCUCCUAGUACGAGAGGACCGGAGUGGACGCAUCACUGGUGUUCGGGUUGUCAUGCCAAUGGCACUGCCCGGUAGCUAAAUGCGGAAGAGAUAAGUGCUGAAAGCAUCUAAGCACGAAACUUGCCCCGAGAUGAGUUCUCCCUGAGACUUUAAGUCUCCUGAAGGAACGUUGAAGACGACGACGUUGAUAGGCCGGGUGUGUAAGCGCAGCGAUGCGUUGAGCUAACCGGUACUAAUGAACCGUGAGGCUUAACCUU